CAGUCAAGGAGUGACAUAGCACCAAAGAGCUUCAAAAGGAGAAGGGUUAGAAAGGAACAAGGGUUUGCUGCCUUGUAGCAAGGCUUGUUUCUGUCAAAGUAGCUGCAAGGUACGUGUUUCCCUGCUUAAAAAGUGCUGCCAGGGAUUUGGGUCACUGCAGUGGUCACUGAAUGUGGAAAGAGCAGAGCAGAGAUCAUCCAGCCUGCUCUGACCAGACCAGACGGGAGAGCUCCAAGACACCAAGCAAGCAAGAGGAGGAGGCCAUCGGACCAGUGAUUGCAGGUGCUAAAGUUUAUCUCUUGGACCACAAGUGCUGGAUGAGAGGGGAUGAAGACAUAAAGCCGUGGCACAAUGAGAUGAUGAUCUUCAGGCUUGAUACACACCUCUAGCAAUAAGAGACCUUGCAUCUCUUCCUGUCUUUGUGAGCCCUGGGCAGCCUGAUCUUAAAUCUGUGUAUCCCCUCUGCCAGAUGCUGCUCUGACAGGACACAGAGAUGACACAGCUUGGUGGAGACCAUCAUCCUGCUCCAGACCUUGCACCAGAUAUCCAAGCUAUGGUUCC